AUUGAACGCUAGCGGGAUGCUUUACACAUGCAAGUCGAACGAGUAGCGGACGGGUGCGUAAGAUAUCGGAACGUGCCCAGUAGCGGGGGAUCACUACUCGAACGAGUGGAUAAUACCGCACACUAUUGGAGCGGCGGAUAGCGGGUUAGCUAGUUUGUGGGGCAAAGGCUCACCAAGGCAACGAUCCGUAGAUGGUUUGAGAGGACGACCAUCCACACUGGGACUGAGACACGGCCCAGACUCCUACGGGAGGCAGCAGUGGGGAAUUUUGGACAAUGGGGGAAACCCUGAUCCAGCCAUCCCGCGUGUAUGAGAAGGCCUUCGGGCUGUAAAGUACUUUUGGCAGAGAAGCGGUAUCUGCAGAAUAAGCACCGGCUAACUACGUGCCAGCAGCCGCGGUAAUUC
rnacentral:rRNA from 1 species